AUCUGAAAGGAACUGAAUGCAAAUGCAGCUGAGAAGCCCCACGUGAAGUCAGCCUGUGACCUGUGACCCACACUGGGUCUAGUUGGAAUUCACAGGUUCUGUGGUCUUCAGGACAGCUCGCUGCUUUCGGAAAACUUACAGCAUUUCUAAGAAAGUGGCUCAUUUGCUCCUCUAGAAUUUAAAAGUGUAAAAUACCGGAAUAUUGUUGCAUAACCUUCUCUGGAGUUACAUGAUCAGAGAAGAUGCAGAGGAUACUAGCAAGCACAUAAUGUGACCCCUAACAACAUUUUCUAUAGGUGAAAUGAGGUAAGAA